UACGUAGGGGGCUAGCGUUGUCCGGAAUCAUUGGGCGUAAAGCGCGUGUAGGCGGUCCGGUAAGUCCGCUGUGAAAGUCGGGGGCUCAACCCUCGGAUGCCGGUGGAUACUGUCGGGCUUGAGUACGGAAGAGGCGAGUGGAAUUCCUGGUGUAGCGGUGAAAUGCGCAGAUAUCAGGAGGAACACCAAUUGCGAAGGCAGCUCGCUGGGACGUUACUGACGCUGAGACGCGAAAGCGUGGGGAGCAAACAGU
rnacentral:rRNA from 1 species